CAAUUACAUAAGGGACAGAAAGA
rnacentral:piRNA from 1 species